rfam:Gorilla gorilla gorilla genomic chromosome, chrX, whole genome shotgun sequence
NNNNAUGGCCAUACCACCCUGAACGCAUCCAAUCUCAUCUGAUCACAGAAGCUAAGCAGCGUCAGACCUGGUUAGCAUUUGGAUGAGAGAAAUGAGGAUUGUGGCAACUAUUAGAU